rnacentral:ncRNA from 1 species
GGAAGUAACUAGUGGAGGUAGAGCUCUGAUUGGGUAGUAGGUCCCUUUAUGGGAUACUGCACUCUCUCAAACUACGAAUGCCAUUAGUGUAAUCCAGGGAGUUAGACUGCGGGAUAUAAGUUCCGUUAGUCGAGAGGGAAACAGCCCAGAUCAUCAGUUAAGGUCCCUAAGCCAUGCUAAGUGGAAAAGGAGGUGAAAUUUCUCAGACAGCCAGGAGGUUUGCUCAGAGGCAGCAAUCCUUUAAAGAGUGCGUAACAGCUCACUGGUCAAGAGAUCUUGCGCCGAUAAUUCAACGGGGCUCAAGCAUGGUACCGAAACUAUGAUUCUUAUGUCCCACACUAAAAACCUAAAAUCAGCAAAAAUGUCUGGUAUAUUUGGGUUCUUAGUGUGGGGCAUAGGGAGGUAGGAGAGCGUUCUAUAUGCAGUGAAGUUUUACCGUAAGGUGAAGUGGAGCGUAUAGAAGUGAGAAUGCAGGCAUGAGUAGCGAAAUUCAGGUGAAAAACCUGAACACCGGAAGCUCAAGGUUUCCUUAGCUAUGUUAGUCAACUAAGGGUUAGUCGGUCCUAAGCCGAGGCCGAAAGGCGUAGGCGAUGGACAUGCCGUUAAUAUUCGGCAACUGGUUGAUAUUCGUUAUUAGCUAUGGGGGGAACGAUUUGGAGACGAUGGAGUCCCGAGAGGUCGGGAUUUAAACAGCAAAUUUAGCUCGAUUUGGCAAAUCCGAUCGGGCGAAAACCUCUGCCAUUGGUAGGGGAAGAAAUGAGCUGUUAUGAAAAGCUGAUGCUACGGCUGAGGCAAUUCUAUCAAUUCGAGUCGCGAGAAAAACCUCUAUGUGAGAAUAUCAAACAACCGUACCGCANNNNNNNNNGUAUACCAAGGUGACCGAGCGAGGCUCUGUUAAGGAAUUCGGCAAAUUACACCCGUAACUUCGGGAAAAGGGUGGCCAUUUUAGCUCUGCGUAAGCAGAAAUCUAAGGUGGUUGCAGUAAAAUAGCUCAAGCGACUGUUUAACAAAAACACAGGUACCUGCUAAAGCGCAAGCUGAUGUAUAGGUGCUGACGCCUGCCCAAUGCUAGAAGAUCACGGAAGGGGGUUACCUCGAUUUAUCGAGGGAAGCUUCCAACUUAAGUCCUAGUCAAUGGCGGCUGUAACUAUAACGGUCCUAAGGUAGCGAAGUUCCUNNNNNNNNNNNNNNNNNNNNNNNNNNNNNNGCGAACAUUGAAAUGGCUGUGAAGAUGCGGCCUACCCACACCAGGACAAAAAGACCCCGGGAUCUUUACUACAGCUUGUCAUUGAGAUAAAGUUGUUGAUGUAGAGCGUAGGAGGGAGACUUUGAAACCCCGAUGCAAGUUGGGGUGGAGUCGCCAAUGUAACACCUCCCUUUGAUAAUUUUGUUUCUAACUUCUACAGUUACCCUGUAGGAAAACAGUGUCAGGUAGGUAGUUUGACUGGGGCGGUUUCUUACUAAAGUGUAACGUAAGAUUUCAAAGGUCGACUCAGGCUGGAUGGAAAUCAGCCGGAGAGCAUAAUGGUAUAAGUCGGCUUUACUGUAAGACUGACAGGUCGAGCAGUUACGAAAGUAGGACAUAGUGACCCUUAAGUAGCGCGUGGUAGCGCUUUUGAUUACAGGAUAAAAGUUACCCCGGGGAUAACAGGCUAGUCUUGCCCGAGCGUUCAAAGCGGCGGCAAGGUUCGGCACCUUAAAGAAGACAUUGGGGUGCAUAUCGUAGUGAUACGGUAUUAGCAAUUUGGCUUAUAACGGUGGACUCCAUAAUGUAUAAUUGCCUUAUACUGACGAAAUUAUGGACAAUACCGUGGGAAGUCUAACUUCAGAGAUAAAAUCGAUGGUAAAAUGUUACCUUAGAUCCGCUUAGUCUAGUGGUUUUCAAUACAAACUCUGAGUUAUGACCCCGUAGAGACUUGUUCUUAAAAAGAACAGAUGCUAUUUAUAACUUAUAAAAUAAAGAAGUAGCAUAAUACGCCAAACUCCUGCAGGCUAGCAGGAUGAAGAUAUAGUCCAUACUAUUAGUAAUAAUAGAUUGAUAUUGCGAUGUCGGCUCGUCACAUCCUGGGGCUGUACAAGGUCCCAAGGGUUGGGCUGUUCGCCCAUUAAAGUGGCACGCGAGCUGGGUUCAAACCGACGUGAGUCAGGUUGGUCUCUAUCCGGUGUGGGCGUAGUAACCUUGAGGGAAUUGGCCCCUAGUACGAGAGGAUCGGGGCGAGGUAACCUCUAGUGCACCAGUUGUUCCACCAGGAGCAUAGCUGGGUAGCUACGUUGCUAUUAGGAUAAGCGCUGAAAGCAUAUAAGCGCGAAGCCUCUCCCAAGAUAAGGGUUACUGGUUCCCCAGAAGAUAACUGGGUUGAUAGGCUCUAGGUGUAAGCACCGCAAGGUGUGUCAGCUUGAUUUUCUUGACUGAUUUACUGAUUUCCUUCG